rnacentral:lncRNA from 1 species
CUGAAGUAUCACUGAGGCAGCUUCUAUUUACCAAGUCCCCCUUUCCACACACCAGGCUCCCCACACACCACAUAUCUCAUUUAAAUUUUUUUUUUUUUUUUUAGAUGGAGUCUCUCUCUGUCACCCAGGCUGGAGUGCAGUGGCGCGAUCUUGGCUCACUGCAACCUCCACCUCCCAGGUUCAAGUGAUUCUCCUGCCUCAGCCUCCCAUGUAGCUGGGACUACAGGCGUGUGCCACCAUGCCCGGCUAAUUUUUGUAUUUUCUAGUAGAGACAGGGUUUCACCAUAUUGGACAGGCUGGUCUCGAACUCCUGACCUUGUGAUCCACCCACCUCGGCCUCCCAAAGUGCUGAAAUUACAGGUGUGAGCCACCGCGCCCAGCCUCAUUUCACUUUCAAUGCUGCCCUGAGAGGGAAGGCUGUUGUCCAAUUUCAGGGUGAAGAAUGGGGCUCCGAGAGGUGAAGUGGCCCAUCUGAACUUUCUCAGGCAGUAGGCAGCAGAGCACCCGAGUGGAGUGGGAGUGACCCGGCUAGCAUGGGUGGAGGGGUGGGGGAGGCACCAGUACUCACACUGAAGAUGAAGAAGAGCUCGAUGAACAUGGCGCCGAAGGGCAAGAUCCCAGCCAUGAGGAUGCUGCCACAGAACGAGAGGUUGACAUUGUUAGAGACCAGGCCACCAGGAAGCCCCAAGCUCCUUCCCAAGCUGGCAUGAAGAGAGAGCACCUACACGAGUGUGGUGGUGCUAAUUCUUCUGGCAUAUUUCUGUACUAUUAUAAUCUCUUGAGAGGAUGACACCAAGUCUGCCUACAACCUGGUCACCUUGAUCUUGGAGUGAAGUUAAGCUUUCAUAAACUCUAUUAGAGCCGGCUGAAGCGGCAGGAACUCUGGUUGCCGCACCCUUCUGGUGGCGGAGGGGGGCGUACCCUCUUCCACGUUCCCCUGCUCUUGCCUCUGCUGGAGGACUCACCCCACAAAUCGGUUCAUGUACCACCGCUGCUCGGGGAUCUGCCGGGGAAUCUGGUUGGUGCGCACAGGGUUGUCAUAUGGCUGCUUUCGGAAGCCGAAGUAGUAGCCCAAGUAGACGAGGGGCAGGGAGAUCCCGAACCACAUGCACAGCAGAGCCACCAUGGUGGGAAAGGGCACCUGUAGACAUGGCACCAUGAGGCCCCCACGAGGCCCUGAUGCCCGGGAUGGGGGCUGCGCAAGGGGGAGGGGACCUUCUGGGCUCCACAGAAGGAGAGGCGACUUGUGCAGCAGAAGCACACUCCCUGCCCCCACCACAGGGCUCCUGGCCAGAAUCUCUUGAGGCUGACCCCAGCCCUGAUCUGGACUCCCAGUGAAGAAGGCACCUCAGCAUCCCAGAGGAGCUCACCAUCCAGGGAGGAAGUAGGGGAGGAACAGGAAGGAGUGGACUGAGAACGUGAAGAGAUGAAGAGGUCAAAAUGAAGAGAUUACAUGUGGCACAUUAUGUGAAGAAAAGAAGGGAAAAAACAACACUGUACAAAGUGCUCCCAAUCUUGUCAGAAUAAAACUACAUGAUAUACUA